rnacentral:rRNA from 1 species
CCCUUAGAUGUUCUGGGCGGCACGCGUGCUACACUGAGUGGAUCAGCGGGUCAGGUUGCGCGAAAGCGUUUCCUAAUCUUUAAAUCCGCUCGUGAUGGGGAUUGACGGUUGCAAUUUUCUGUCAUGAACGAGGAAUACCUUGUAAGCGCGGGUCAUCAUCCCGCGCUGAAUACGUCCCUGCCCUUUGUACACACCGCCCGUCGCUCCUACCGAUUGAGUGGUCCGGUGAGGCUUUGGGAUCUGAGCGGAAAGAGCGUUUCGCUGUUUCUGCUCGGAAAACUCAGUCGAACCUUAUCAUUUAGAGGAAGGAGAAGUCGUAACA